rnacentral:lncRNA from 1 species
GCGUGGGGAGGUUCUGGAAAAAUUUUGAAGUGUUCAAAAUUUACCGAGAGGAGAGAAAAAGGAGAGAGAAGUGGGCGCAGGGUUUUUGGUGUGUACCCUAGGGUUUCUAUCUAGGGUUCGGGAAGUGAGAUUGGUGUGCCACGAGUGUCGUGAGUCCACCAAAUUUUAGGGAGAGAUCCAUCAGCCUCUCAACCAACCGUGCAGAUGAUUCGGAGCAUUCGAGGAGUCGGCACACAUCGAUCGAAGG